GAUGAACGCUGACAGAAUGCUUAACACAUGCAAGUCAACUUGAACUUCGGUUUGGGUGGCGGACGGGUGAGUAACGCGUAAAGAACUUGCCUCACAGUUAGGGACAACAUUUGGAAACGAAUGCUAAUACCUGAUAUUAUGAUUUUAGGGCAUCCUAGAAUUAUGAAAGCUAUAUGCGCUGUGAGAGAGCUUUGCGUCCCAUUAGCUAGUUGGAGAGGUAACGGCUCACCAAGGCGAUGAUGGGUAGCCGGCCUGAGAGGGUGAACGGCCACAAGGGGACUGAGACACGGCCCUUACUCCUACGGGAGGCAGCAGUGGGGAAUAUUGGACAAUGGACCAAGAGUCUGAUCCAGCAAUUCUGUGUGCACGAUGAAGUUUUUCGGAAUGUAAAGUGCUUUCAGUUGGGAAGAAAAAAAUGACGGUACCAACAGAAGAAGUGACGGCUAAAUACGUGCCAGCAGCCGCGGUAAUACGUAUGUCACAAGCGUUAUCCGGAUUUAUUGGGCGUAAAGCGCGUCUAGGUGGUUAUAUGAGUCUGAUGUGAAAAUGCAGGGCUCAACUCUGUAUUGCGUUGGAAACUGUGUAACUAGAGUACUGGAGAGGUAAGCGGAACUACAAGUGUAGAGGUGAAAUUCGUAGAUAUUUGUAGGAAUGCCGAUGGGGAAGCCAGCUUACUGGACAGAUACUGACGCUGAAGCGCGAAAGCGUGGGUAGCAAACAGG
rnacentral:rRNA from 1 species